rnacentral:rRNA from 1 species
AUGUCUUGGUCUGAGCUCCCGGAGGACCUCGGCGACUCGAUCCUCCGCCGCCUCCGGCGCCACGAUGAUCGCGUCUGCUUCGGCGCCGUCUGCCGGCAGUGGCGCUCCUGUGCAUGGCGGAACAGCCCUCCGUCGCUCUUCCCGUGGCUCGCCUUACCGGACCAGACCUUUUACAGCUUGCCCGACUCGGCUUUCCGGCCGCUGUCGCUCCGUCUUGACUUCCAUCGCCAGGUACCGCAUGCCCAGAGCUCCUGCGGCGAGUGGCUCGCCUAUGAGCGCAUCGACGGCGCCUACACGCUGGUGAGCCCUUUCUCCGUGGCCACCACCAUGGUGCUCUCUCGGCUAUCCGCAGGACCGGCCUUGUCGGAGCCGUUCGUCAGGAAGCUGGUCGUGUGCUCGCCCAACCUUGUCGUUGCGGUCGUUGGUGAGGAAGGGAUUCACAAGCUGGCCUUGUGCCGGCCAGGAGCGGCGUCCUGGGUGGUGAUCGCCCACGACCAGCUGAGGCGAGUUCAAGACAUGAUCUUCUAUCAAGGCAAGCUCUACAUCCUCCAGGAGACCCGCGACCACCUCCUCUCCGUCUCCGUCGGCGAGGACAGAACCGGCGAGCCGACCGUGACCCGGGUGGAUAGACUUAUGCAGGUCCCUACAUGGGGCUACAUCGAGUCGCCGCUGCAAUACCUCCUGGAAUCUGACGGCGCGCUGCUGAUGGUGCGCAGAGAGGAUCCUAACACACGAGACCCCUUACAAUUCUUGGGAGACGGUGGAGGGCGUUUGCACAAGGUAGGCGCGGGCUUGGAGAAGCCCACUGAAUUCACGGUGUUCGCGGCGGACUUGGCGGGAUCACGGUGGACGGAGGUGAGCAGCGUCGGGGAAGUCCGGGUGCUGUUCGUCGGGCAAUGGUGCUCCCGAGCUGUACGCGUCCCGGACCAGUGCAAGGAGUACGUCGCGGGGGACCGUAUCUUCUUCGUGGACGCUCAUGCUGCCCGCGGCUACGCCGACCCGUGCUACCGGAAGAAGGUCUGGUUUUACUGCAGCGUCCACGACAUGGGGGAACCGCGGUCUCGAACGUAUCUGAGGAUCAAGGUACGGCCGCUGAAAGGGUUUCCCGUUGCGUGGCUGUUCCCUCGUUUGGAGCCGGUGAUGAACAGCUAG